GUAGGGAAUAUUGGGCAAUGGAAGGAAUUCUGACCCAGCCAUGUCGCGUGCAGGAAUACAGUCCUAUGGACUUUAAACUGCUUUUAUUAUAGAGUAACCUGGGGGACGUGUCCCCCACUGCAAGUAUAUAAUGAAUAAGCAUCGGCUAACUCCGUGCCAGCAGCCGCGGUAAUACGGGGGAUGCAAGCGUUAUCCGGAUUCAUUGGGUUUAAAGGGUGCGCAGGCUGAUCGGUAAGUCAUGGGUGAAAAGUCACUGCAUAACAGUUAUCGUGCCUCUGAUACUGCCGGACUAGAGUUUAAGAGGUGUAACGGGAAUGUGAUGUGUAGCGGUGAAAUGCUUAGAUAUGUCACAGAACGCCAAUCGUGAAGACAGGUUACAAACUUAAUACUGACGCUCAUGCACGAAAGCGUGGGGAUCAAACAGGAUUAGAAACCCCGGUAGUCC
rnacentral:rRNA from 1 species